GAUGAACGCUGGCGGCGUGCCUAAUACAUGCAAGUCGAGCGAACAGACGAGGAGCUUGCUCCUCUGACGUUAGCGGCGGACGGGUGAGUAACACGUGGAUAACCUACCUAUAAGACUGGGAUAACUUCGGGAAACCGGAGCUAAUACCGGAUAAUAUAUUGAACCGCAUGGUUCAAUAGUGAAAGACGGUUUUGCUGUCACUUAUAGAUGGAUCCGCGCCGCAUUAGCUAGUUGGUAAGGUAACGGCUUACCAAGGCGACGAUGCGUAGCCGACCUGAGAGGGUGAUCGGCCACACUGGAACUGAGACACGGUCCAGACUCCUACGGGAGGCAGCAGUAGGGAAUCUUCCGCAAUGGGCGAAAGCCUGACGGAGCGACGCCGCGUGAGUGAUGAAGGUCUUCGGAUCGUAAAACUCUGUUAUUAGGGAAGAACAAAUGUGUAAGUAACUAUGCACGUCUUGACGGUACCUAAUCAGAAAGCAACGGCUAACUACGUG
rnacentral:rRNA from 1 species